rnacentral:rRNA from 1 species
ACGUAGGAGACUAGCGUUAUCCGGAUUUACUGGGCGUAAAGCGCGUGCAGGCGGUUCAGCAAGUUGGAUGUGAAAGCUCCCGGCUUAACCGGGCGAGGACAAUGAAGACUGGUCAGCUAGAGGACGGUAGAGGGGUGUGGAAUUCCGGGUGUAGUGGUGAAAUGCGUAGAGAUCCGGAGGAACACCAGAGGCGAAGGCGACACCCUGGGCCGUGCCUGACGCUAAGACGCGACAGCACGGGGAGCGAACGG